rnacentral:rRNA from 1 species
UACGGGGGGGGCAAGCGUUGUUCGGAUUUACUGGGCGUAAAGGGCGCGUAGGCGGUCAGCACAAGUCGGUUGUGAAAUCUCCGAGCUUAACUCGGAAAGGUCAACCGAAACUGUGCGACUAGAGUGCAGAAGGGGCAACUGGAAUUCUUGGUGUAGCGGUGAAAUGCGUAGAUAUCAAGAGGAACACCUGCGGCGAAGGCGGGUUGCUGGGCUGACACUGACGCUGAAGCGCGAAAGCCAGGGGAGCGAACGGG